AUUAACUGCUAAACUCAUCACAGCCAGGAUUUGUCUGCCUCCUGCCGCUGUCGCUACCAUCUGGGAGUAAGGGCGAAAGAAGACAGAAACUUCCAAGAAAGAAUCCUGAGUGAUGUCAGCAAGAAUGGCUAAGUAAGGACCUCCAGAAGUUCUCUGCCCCGUACAAGCCAUGCAAAUACUGACAAAACUGUGAGAAUCAGAUUUUUCACAACUCUGGAACAUUUAUUCCAGCAAGCAGCAAAUGUUCCCCUUGCAGCAAGC
rnacentral:lncRNA from 1 species